rnacentral:rRNA from 1 species
UGGGGAAUAUUGCACAAUGGGCGAAAGCCUGAUGCAGCGACGCCGCGUGCGGGAUGAAGGCCUUCGGGUUGUAAACCGCUUUUAAUUGGGAGCAAGCGAGAGUGAGUGUACCUUUUGAAUAAGCACCGGCUAACUACGUGCCAGCAGCCGCGGUAAUACGUAGGGUGCAAGCGUUAUCCGGAAUUAUUGGGCGUAAAGAGCU